rnacentral:rRNA from 1 species
CCCUUAGAUGUUCUGGGCCGCACACGCGCUACACUGAAGGAGGCAGCGUGUACUCCUGGAUCGAAAGAUUUGGGUAACCCGCGAAUCUCCUUCGUGCUAGGGAUUGAGGUUUGCAAUUAUCCUUCAUGAACGAGGAAUUCCCAGUAAGUGCAAGUCAUAAGCUUGCGCUGACUACGUCCCUGCCCUUUGUACACACCGCCCGUCGCUCCAACCGAUUGAGUGAUCCGGUGAGUUGUCCGGACCGCUACUUGUUCCUUUGCUGGUCUAGUAGUGGGAAGUUCUGCAAACCUUAUCACUUAGAGGAUGGAGAAGUCGUAACA